GUUGAUUGUGAGAAACUGACUUUUCUGAUCCUGUUCCCUCAUCUUUGCUCCUGAAAACAACAGAAAGAAACUGCAGAAUCUGACAAAAAGAGGCAACAACAUUUUCAGCAUCUGCUCUUCACUAGAUCUACGAUCUGAGGGAUUUGACUGAAUCAAGAUGCUGCUGAUCACUGAAGCUCUUCUCAUUUCAGCUGUUCUAGGACAGGUAAGCUUGUGUUCUAGUAUGAAUAUUACAGACAUGAAUACUGAUGAUUGAUCAUUAUGAUUCCUGCUGCUGCAGGAUCGCACUGCUGCUGCUGCUGCUGAGGAAGACAUAUAUCCAUUGGAUAUAGGACCACAUUCAGUUGAUGACCAAUAUAAGGGCUGUAGAGAGAAAAUGACACAUCCUCAAUUUUUUUGUUUUUUUGAGCAUUUUUGUGUAUUUGAACCCUUUCCAACAAUGACUGUAUGAUUUUGAGAUCCAUUUUUUUUUUUU